rnacentral:rRNA from 1 species
UACGUAGGGUGCGAGCGUUGUCCGGAAUUACUAGGCGUAAAGAGCUCGUAGGUGGUUUGUCGCGUUGUUCGUGAAAACUCACAGCUUAACUGUGGGCGUGCGGGCGAUACGGGCAGACUAGAGUACUGCAGGGGAGACUGGAAUUCCUGGUGUAGCGGUGGAAUGCGCAGAUAUCAGGAGGAACACCGGUGGCGAAGGCGGGUCUCUGGGCAGUAACUGACGCUGAGGAGCGAAAGCGUGGGGAGCGAACAGG